rnacentral:rRNA from 1 species
UUACGGGAGGCAGCAGUGGGGAAUUUUCCGCAAUGGGCGAAAGCCUGACGGAGCAAGACCGCGUGAGGGAGGAAGGCUCUUGGGUUGUAAACCUCUUUUCUCAGGGAAGAAGAACUGACGGUACCUGAGGAAUAAGCAUCGGCUAACUCCGUGCCAGCAGCCGCGGUAAUACGGAGGAUGCAAGCGUUAUCCGGAAUCAUUGGGCGUAAAGCGUCCGCAGGUGGAGUGGUAAGUCUGUUGUCAAAGAACGGGGCUUAACCCCGUAAAGGCGAUGGAAACUGCCACACUAGAGGCUGGUAGGGGUAGAGGGAAUUCCCAGUGUAGCGGUGAAAUGCGUAGAGAUUGGGAAGAACACCAGUGGCGAAAGCGCUCUACUGGACCAGAACUGACACUCAGGGACGAAAGCUAGGGGAGCGAAAGGGAUUAGAUACCCCGGU